rnacentral:rRNA from 1 species
UACAGAGGUGGCAAGCGUUGUUCGGAAUUACUGGGCGUAAAGGGCGCGUAGGCGGUCCUACAAGUCCCGCGUGAAAGCCCCCGGCUCAACUGGGGAAUGGCGCGGGAAACUGUUGGGCUUGAGUUCGGGAGAGGGAAGCGGAAUUCCGGGUGUAGCGGUGAAAUGCGUAGAUAUCCGGAGGAACACCGGUAGCGAAGGCGGCUUCCUGGACCGACACUGACGCUGAGGCGCGAAAGCUAGGGGAGCAAACGGG